GAUGAACGCUGGCGGCGUGCCUAAUACAUGCAAGUCGAGCGAACAGACGAGGAGCUUGCUCCUCUGACGUUAGCGGCGGACGGGUGAGUAACACGUGGAUAACCUACCUAUAAGACUGGGAUAACUUCGGGAAACCGGAGCUAAUACCGGAUAAUAUAUUGAACCGCAUGGUUCAAUAGUGAAAGACGGUUUUGCUGUCACUUAUAGAUGGAUCCGCGCCGCAUUAGCUAGUUGGUAAGGUAACGGCUUACCAAGGCAACGAUGCGUAGCCGACCUGAGAGGGUGAUCGGCCACACUGGAACUGAGACACGGUCCAGACUCCUACGGGAGGCAGCAGUAGGGAAUCUUCCGCAAUGGGCGAAAGCUUGACGGAGCAACGCCGCGUGUGUGAUGAAGGUCUUCGGAUCGUAAAACUCUGUUACUAGGGAAGAACAAAUGUGUAAGUAACUAUGCACGUCUUGACGGUACCUAAUCAGAAAGCCACGGCUAACUACGUG
rnacentral:rRNA from 1 species